CCUACGGGUGGCUGCAGUGAGGAAUAUUGGUCAAUGGGCGAGAGCCUGAACCAGCCAAGUCGCGUGAAGGAUGACGGCCCUACGGGUUGUAAACUUCUUUUGUCAGGGAGCAAUUGGGUCCACGCGUGGGCUUAUCGGGAGUACCUGAAGAAAAAGCAUCGGCUAACUCCGUGCCAGCAGCCGCGGUAAUACGGAGGAUGCGAGCGUUAUCCGGAUUUAUUGGGUUUAAAGGGUGCGUAGGCGGAACAAAAAGUCAGCGGUAAAAGUUCGGGGCUCAACCCCGUCGUGCCGUUGAAACUGAUGUACUUGAGUGGGCGAGAAGUAUGCGGAAUGCGCGGUGGAGCGGUGAAAUGCAUAGAUAUCACGCAGAACUCCGAUUGCGAAGGUAGCAUACCGGCGCCCAACUGACGCUGAAGCACGAAAGCGUGGGUAUCGAACAGGAUUAGAUACCCCUGUAGUC
rnacentral:rRNA from 1 species